AGAGUUUGAUCCUGGCUCAGAUUGAACGCUGGCGGCAUGCCUUACACAUGCAAGUCGAACGGCAGCACGGGAGCAAUCCUGGUGGCGAGUGGCGAACGGGUGAGUAAUAUAUCGGAACGUGCCCAGUCGUGGGGGAUAACGCAGCGAAAGCUGUGCUAAUACCGCAUACGAUCUCUGGAUGAAAGCGGGGGACUCAGCAAUGAGCCUCGCGCGAUUGGAGCGGCCGAUAUCAGAUUAGCUAGUUGGUGGGGUAAAAGCCCACCAAGGCGACGAUCUGUAGCUGGUCUGAGAGGACGACCAGCCACACUGGAACUGAGACACGGUCCAGACUCCUACGGGAGGCAGCAGUGGGGAAUUUUGGACAAUGGGCGCAAGCCUGAUCCAGCAAUGCCGCGUGCAGGAUGAAGGCCUUCGGGUUGUAAACUGCUUUUGUACGGAACGAAACGGUUCACCUUAAUACAGUGGGCUAAUGACGGUACCGUAAGAAUAAGCACCGGCUAACUACGUGCCAGCAGCCGCGGUAAUACGUAGGGUGCGAGCGUUAAUCGGAAUUACUGGGCGUAAAGCGUGCGCAGGCGGUGAUGUAAGACAGAUGUGAAAUCCCCGGGCUCAACCCUGGGACCUGCAUUUGUGACUGCAUCGCUAGAGUACGGUAGAGGGGGAUGGAAUUCCGCGUGUAGCAGUGAAAUGCGUAGAUAUGCGGAGGAACACCGAUGGCGAAGGCAAUCCCCUGGACCUGUACUGACGCUCAUGCACGAAAGCGUGGGGAGCAAACAGGAUUAGAUACCCUGGUAGUCCAC
rnacentral:rRNA from 1 species